rnacentral:sRNA from 1 species
AGCUGGGGACCGAACCCAGGGCCUUGCGCUUCCUAGGGUCAGCGGCCUAUAGGACCAAUGCCCGAAGUCGUUCGCCUCUAGACUGACAGUGCUCUGAUGCCAUGAGUAAGCAGUCCCUAACGCUGACUUUCAAAUCCAGCAGCAGACCAUGUGGAUGGCUCUAUUCUUUAGCUGGGGGCUCAGGGGUUCACUCUACAUCCCUCAGAAACACCGAUCCUGCCUUGCCUCUUAAUCAGGUUAUCCCUGAGAAUGGCUCAACCCUGAUCUGCAGUUUGGACUCCAUUUGUUUUUCCAGGUAGAGCCAAAAGGCUGUCUGUGUGAAAUCAAAGAAAACUGUGGGCUUGUAAAAUCCUAACCCAGCCUGGGUCCCACCACUGCCCGCCCAACUCGGCACUCUGCCUGUCCCUGACCUCCCCAAAUCUUACACCCCAGCCACACCCCAACCAUGCCACAGCAGAGCCUGAAGUUGGAUUGACACAUUUAUUCCCAAAACUGUAAACCCACAUCAGCUUUUUCCAGCCAAGGCCAGCCUGACUGUAAUACCCUGCCCCAGGCCUAUAGCACUGAACUUGGAGUCCCAGGGCAUCCACCCAUGAGUUGUAUGUGCAGGUACAUGGAAUGGAGUCCCAGGUGGCACCUGGAGGUGGCUCAGAGGCAGGGGGGUUCAUGAGGGUGACCUGUCACAACCUCCAGAGGUAGGCAGUCUCCUGCAGCAAAGUCAGAGUUUGGUGGCC